rnacentral:rRNA from 1 species
UAGUCCACGCCCUAAACGAUGCUUACUCGAUGUUUGGGCCUUGUGCUUGAGCAUCCAAGGGAAACCGUUAAGUAAGCCACCUGGGGAGUACGUUCGCAAGAAUGAAACUCAAAGGAAUUGACGGGGUCCGCACAAGCGGUGGAGCAUGUGGUUUAAUUCGACGAUACGCGAGGAACCUUACCUAGGCUCUAAUGCGCGUGACGAUAUAUGAAAGUAUAUUUUCCUUCGGGACACAAAGCAAGGUGCUGCAUGGUUGUCGUCAGCUCGUGCCGUGAGGUGUUGGGUUAAGUUCCGCAACGAGCGCAACCCCUAUUUUCAGUUGCCAGCACAUAAUGGUGGGGACUCUGGAGAGACUGCCUACGCAAGUAGAGAGGAAGGCGGGGACGACGGUCAAAUCAUCAUGGCCUUUAUGCCUAGGGGCUACACACGUGCUACAAUGGGCGGGGUACAGAGGGUUGCGAAGCAGCGAUGUGGGAGCUAAUCCCAGAAAGCCCGU